AUGCCGUUUGUCGAGGGGAAAAGUUAAAGGAUUACUCGCGAUCUUAUGCAGACCGGCGAGUGGGGACUUAGAUCUUUUAUAAAAGAUUACACAACAUAUAUAAAUGUAAUUUGGAGUUUAAGCCCACUGCACACUUCCACUGUCCCUCCUGCAAACGAUUAUUAGAAAGAAGAGACCGUUUUGUAGACCAUUUGGGACAGUGCGUCCAACAAGCUGUUGAAGAGGAGCAGGAGCAGCGGGAGGCCAAAGAGGAGUAGGGGGAUGAGGAGCAGCAGCAUCAGCAGGAGGCCAAAGGGGAGCAGCAUCAGCAGGAGGCCAAAGGGGAGCAGCUUGAUGAAGUGGUCUCUUUUCUAUUUGGAAUCCUUAAGGACACACCAGGAGCGAGACAACUUCUAGAUCACGUUGCCUUUGUCUUUGACGUGCUUUUGCCUGAGACAGUUAUCUACAGCCUGGUGGAGGUGCACUCCCUGUCAGGACAAAAAGCCACUGAGAUGUACAAACAGGGCCCACAAUAUGA